rnacentral:rRNA from 1 species
GGUGGGAUUAGCUAGUUGGUGAGGUAAGGGCUCACCAAGGCGACGAUCCCUAGCUGGUCUGAGAGGAUGAUCAGCCACACUGGAACUGAGACACGGUCCAGACUCCUACGGGAGGCAGCAGUGGGGAAUAUUGCACAAUGGGCGCAAGCCUGAUGCAGCCAUGCCGCGUGUGUGAAGAAGGCCUUCGGGUUGUAAAGCACUUUCAGUCGUGAGGAAGGUGGUAGUGUUAAUAGCACUAUCAUUUGACGUUAGCGACAGAAGAAGCACCGGCUAACUCCGUGCCAGCAGCCGCGGUAAUACGGAGGGUGCGAGCGUUAAUCGGAAUUACUGGGCGUAAAGCGCAUGCAGGUGGUUUGUUAAGUCAGAUGUGAAAGCCCGGGGCUCAACCUCGGAAUUGCAUUUGAAACUGGCAGACUAGAGUACUGUAGAGGGGGG